rnacentral:lncRNA from 1 species
AAAGUUAGGAGGAAUGACCCGGCCAGAAUGAACUAUGAUUCAUGAUAACAUGUAAUUCCCUUAAAUGUUUAAAUUUAAAAUCCGUGUAAAUGAAUAACCUUUUAAAAGACAUGCUGCAUCACCAGUGGAGUUUGACAAAUGCUUCUAAUUACUUAAUGCAUUACAUAGGAUGGUAAGUGGAAGUGGUGAACUGCAGGUUAGCCCUCAACCAGUGCCAGCAUUUCUCAGGUUCCGUGGCCCUUCUCCCCUUGUUGUGGCAGCAAAGAUGGCUUUGAACAUGACUACUCUCAAGACAGGAAAGGGUCACGCUCAUGGCAUAUAGGCUAGGGGUCUAAUUGGAGCCACAGCUGCUGGCCUACACCACAACCACAUGAUGUUGAUCUGAGCCACAUCUGUGACCUAUACCACAGUUCAUGGCAACACUGGAUCCUUAACCCACCAAGAGAGGCCAGGGAUCGAGCCCGCAACCUCAUGGUUCCUAGUUGGGUUCCUUAACCCUUGAGCCAUGACAGGAACUCCCCAAAGAGAGAUGGUAAUCUUCAAAACAUAAUUUUCAAUUUCAAGAGCCAGUAUUUGAAGGUCCCAGUAUUUGAAGGUCCCAAGAAAUGUGAUUAUUUCAUUUUCAGAAGUCCGAAAAUCUUAUCUUCGAAUGUCAAGAACAAAAUCAGGAGAAAUUCACACAUUAAUGUUUGCACCAAGAGGCACUGAGAAGAAAGAGGGCUACCAUGGGGGAGGUUUGGGUUUUCUCCCACUUCUAGAGAAGAUGUGGCUGAGUGGAUCCGUGGACCCGAAGAUUCCUUGGGGUGGUGCAGUAGGAGAGAGCUUUGUGGAUCUUGCUGCCUAAAAGCAGAGGGGUCCGGGGCAGCGGCCACCAAGGGACUAAAAGACCAUUAGCAUCAGCAGCAUGUGUCCACAGAGACGUGGCCACGUGACAGACUCUCCCCUACCCCUGAUGCCAUGAUCCUAGCUGAGCAUGGUUAAACUCACUGCCUGGAAUAUGGGAUCUAAUGAAUCAUGUUCUCCUAUUGUUAUCACAUUGUUAUGAACAGGCUGGAGCUCUUCUUGGGCACGGCUGGAACCAAGCGCUUGCUUAAUGAAGUUACGCUAGGCUACCGAAAAGAGGGACUGGCUGACUCCUGAGAGGACAGGGGGCACGGCAGUGUGCUGAGCACACUCAGACCUCCAGCAAGGGUCAGAGAUGAGAGUGAAAGAGAACACUGGGCUCUGGGAGGCCAGGCACCCUUCACUGGUGCCUCUCCCGGGCUCUGAUGUUGAAGGAGCUGUAGUCAGGCUGCUUACAUUCAGGAGGGGGAAGAGGGGUCCUGGGAGGUCCGUGGUGCAGAGAGAAGAUGUCGCACCUCAGACACAGAUCCGGGAAAGCCUGACGUGACCUGGAUGAGACCCAUAACCAAGGACGUAAUUUUCCCCUUCUUCCCUUGUGUUCUCCAGCCCAGAGGUGGUCUUGGAUGCUUUCCACGACUCCCCUCUUCAUGCCUAAGCAUCCCCUGACCCUGAGACCACCCCCCCCCCAAAUCUGGGGCCUCCACCUGGCUCCUUGACCCCCACUGCUUUUGUUUUUCAUCACUUGAUUCCUUCCCGCCAAUCUAGAAGGCUCAGGCUACUUUUACGGUUCACAUACAACUUUAUUUAAAAAAAAAAAAAAGUGGGAGUUUAUUUUCCUUUCCUUAUAAUAGAUUGUAAACUCCUUUGAGACAGGGAACCCACCUUCUACAAGGUGCUUUAUAUGAUGGACUAGGCAAACAGGGGAGGAUUUCCAAAUGUUGCCUGAUGGACAUCUGGUCCCCUCCAUUCUGAUGGGAAUGCUGACGCCUCUGUCCUCAGCGUCACAGGGGAAAAUUACAAAUAGCACUAGAUGUUCCAAA